AUAAUACAGGAGGGUUCUAUCAGGGUAUAAUACAGGAGGGUUCUAUCAGGGUAUAAUACAGGAGGGUUCUAUCAGGGUAUAAUACAGGAGGGUUCUAUCAGGGUAUAAUACAGGAGGGUUCUAUCACAGGAGGGUUCUAUCAGGGUAUAAUACAGGAGGGUUCUAUCAGGGUAUAAUACAGGAGGGUUCUAUCAGGGUAUAAUACAGGAGGGCUCUAUCAGGGUAUAAUACAGGAGGGUUCUAUCAGGGUAUAUUACAGGAGGGUUCUAUCAGGGUAUAAUACAGGAGGGUUCUAUCAGGGUAUAUUACAGGAGGGUUCUAUCAGGGUAUAAUACAGGAGGGUUCUAUCAGGGUAUAAUACAGGAGGGUUCUAUCAGGGUAUAAUACAGGAGGGUUCUAUCAGGGUAUAAUACAGUAGGGUUCUAUCAGGGUAUAAUACAGGAGGGUUCUAUCAGGGUAUAAUACAGGAGGGUUCUAUCAGGGUAUAAUACAGGAGGGUUCUAUCAGGGUAUAAUACAGGAGGGUUCUAUCAGGGUAUAAUACAGGAGGGUUCUAUCAGGG